CAAAGAAUAGUCUAAUUUAGGACCUUGGCUUUGGGAGCUGGAAGUGGAGGUUAGAAUCCUUCUUCUUUGA
rnacentral:tRNA from 1 species